rnacentral:rRNA from 1 species
GUAAUCACUUGUCCCUUAAAUAGGGACCUGUAUGAAUGGCUAACUGAGGGCCUAACUGUCUCUUGCAGCCAACCAAUGAAACUGAUCUCCCAGUACAAAAGCUGGGAUAACCACACAAGACGAGAAGACCCUGUGGAGCUUUAAAUUAAUGUGCUACCACACAACCUCACACUCAACAAGAUACAACAAAACUGACCAUAGCAUAAAUUUUAAGUUGGGGCGACUACGGAACAAAACAAACCUUCCAUGAAACCAGGCUUACCCCCACUGCAAGGCCUACAAGCCAACAAUACACACCAUUUAACGACCCAGUAACACUGAUCACCGAACCAAGUUACCCCAGGGAUAACAGCGCCAUCCUCUUUUAGAGUCCCUAUCGCCAAGAGGGUUUACGACCUCGAUGUUGGAUCAGGACCCCCAGGUGGUGCAGCCGCUACCAACGGUUCGUUUGUUCAACGACUAAUGUCCUACGUGAUC